GAUGAACGCUGGCGGCGUGCCUAAGAUAUGCAAGUCGAGCGGUAACACUUCGGGUGACGAGCGGCGGACGGCUUAGUAACGCGUAGGAACGUACCCCAAGUAGNGGGAUAAGCACCGGAAACGGUGUCUAAUACCGCAUGUGCUCUUCGGAGCAAAGCCUUCGGGCGCUAUGGGAGCGGCCUGCGUAUGAUUAGCUUGUUGGUGAGGUAAUGGCUCACCAAGGCAACGAUCAUUAGCUGGUCUGAGAGGAUGAUCAGCAAGACUGGGAC
rnacentral:rRNA from 1 species